AGCAGCCGCGGUAAUUCCAGCUCCAAUAGCGUAUAUUAAAGUUGUUGCAGUUAAAAAGCCCGUAGUUGAAUUUCGGGACCAAUCUGCCGGUCGUGCCUCCGGUACGCACUGGUUUUAUUGGUUUCUCCCUUCUGACGAACCAUGAUGUCAUUAAUUUGGUGUCAUGGGGAAUCAGGACUGUUACUUUGAAAAAAUUAGAGUGUUUAUAGCAGGCUCACGCUUGAAUACAUUAGCAUGGAAUAAUGAAAUAGGACGUUUGACCCUAUUUUGUUGGUUUCUAGGAUCGACGUAAUGAUUAAUAGGGAUAGUUGGGGGCAUUAGUAUUCAAUUGUCAGAGGUGAAAUUCUUGGAUUUAUUGAAGACUAACUACUGCGAAAGCAUUUACCAAGGAUGUUUUCAUUAAUCAAGAACGAAAGUUAGGGGAUCGAAGACGAUCAGAUACCGUCGUAGUCUUAACCAUAAACUAUGCCGACUAGGGAUCGGAUGAUGUUAAUUUUUUAAUGACUCAUUCGGCGCCUUA
rnacentral:rRNA from 1 species